AAUAGCUCAGAAUGUCAGUUCUG
rnacentral:miRNA from 1 species